UACGUAGGGUGCGAGCGUUAAUCGGAAUUACUGGGCGUAAAGUGUGCGCAGGCGGCGCUGCAAGUCGAGUGUGAAAAUCCCCCGAGCUUAACUUGGGAAUUGCGCUCGAAACUACGGCGCUGGAGUAUGGCAGAGGAAGGUGGAAUUCCACGUGUAGCGGUGAAAUGCGUAGAGAUGUGGAGGAACACCGAUGGCGAAGGCAGCCUUCUGGGCCAAUACUGACGCUCAUGCACGAAAGCGUGGGGAGCAAACAGG
rnacentral:rRNA from 1 species